CCSCCACARAGAUGUGGCUUUCCCUUCGGGGACUGGGACACAGGUGCUGCAUGGCAGUCGUCAGCUCGUGUCGUGAGAUGUUGGGUUAAGUCCCGCAACGAGCGCAACCCUCGCCAUUAGUUGCCAUCAUUUAGUUGGGAACUCUAAUGGGACUGCCGGUGCUAAGCCGGAGGAAGGUGGGGAUGACGUCAAGUCCUCAUGGCCCUUACAGGGUGGGCUACACACGUGCUACAAUGGCGACUACAGAGGGUUAAUCCUUAAAAGUCGUCUCAGUUCGGAUUGUCCUCUGCAACUCGAGGGCAUGAAGUUGGAAUCGCUAGUAAUCGCGGAUCAGCAUGCCGCGGUGAAUACGUY
rnacentral:rRNA from 1 species